rnacentral:rRNA from 1 species
CACGUAGGGCGCAAGCGUUGUCCGGAAUUAUUGGGCGUAAAGAGCUCGUAGGCGGUCUGUUACGUCUGCUGUGAAAACCCUGGGCUUAACCCUGGGCUUGCAGUGGAUACGGGCAGACUAGAGGCAGGUAGGGGAGAAUGGAAUUCCCGGUGUAGCGGUGAAAUGCGCAGAUAUCAGGAGGAACACCGAUGGCGAAGGCAGGUCUCUGGGCCGAUACUGACGCUGAGGAGCGAAAGCGUGGGGAGCGAGCAGG